rnacentral:rRNA from 1 species
GAUGAACGCUGGCGGCGUGCUUAACACAUGCAAGUCGAACGAAGCACUUUACCUGAUUUCCUUCGGGGAUGAUUGUUCUGUGACUGAGUGGCGGACGGGUGAGUAACGCGUGGAUAACCUGCCUCACACAGGGGGAUAACAGUUGGAAACGACUGCUAAUACCGCAUAAGCGCACAGUACCGCAUGGUACAGUGUGAAAAACUCCGGUGGUGUGAGAUGGAUCCGCGUCUGAUUAGCUUGUUGGCGGGGUAACGGCCCACCAAGGCGACGAUCAGGAGCCGGCCUGGGAGGGCGACCGGCCACAUUGGGACUGAGACACGGCCCAGACUCCUACGGGAGGCAGCAGUGGGGAAUAUUGCACAAUGGGGGAAACCCUGAUGCAGCGACGCCGCGUGAGCGAUGAAGUAUUUCGGUAUGUAAGGCUCUAUCAGCAGGGAAGAUAAUGACGGUACCUGACUAAGAAGCUCCGGCUAAAUACGUGCCAGCCGCCGCCGUAA